rnacentral:rRNA from 1 species
UACAGAGGGUGCGAGCGUUGUCCGGAAUCACUGGGCGUAAAGAGCGCGUAGGCGGCUAGAUAAGUCCGGUGUGAAAGUCACAGGCUCAACCUGUGAAUGCCGCUGGAAACUGUCUGGCUAGAGUCCGGAAGGGCGAGUGGAAUUCCUGGUGUAGCGGUGAAAUGCGCAGAUAUCGAGGAGGAACACCAAUGGCGAAGGCAGCUCGCUGGGACGGUACUGACGCUGAGAAGCGAAAGCGUGGGGAGCGAACAGG